UUAUGUUGCUUUUCUCAGUCCGGUAAAACCUGAUGAUUCCAGCCAGAAAGCUGAUGUUGGACGGAUCCAAAACCCAGAACCUUCGAGGAGUCCUCCUCCUGUUUCUCCCUGCUCCAGUUUUGAAUGCCCAAGCUUACCCAUAACCAAAGACAAGGAGCAGCUAAUUUCCUUCAUAGAAAGCAACUCGGUUGUGAUCGUUCGAGGAGCCACCGGCAGUGGCAAGACCACCCAGCUGCCACAGUUCAUCUUGGACCACUACAAUGAGAAAACCGCCUCCUGCAACAUUGUGGUCACACAGCCGCGCAAGAUUGGAGCCACCAGUAUCGCUCGCUGGGUUGCUGCUCAGAGGAAGUGCAUCCUGGGCAGUCUGGUGGGAUAUCAGGUUGGUACACCUGUGAAGUAGUAAGUGAGUUUGUGUUUGACAUACUGAUGU